ACUUGAAGGUAGUAGCUUUGUUUUGCCUGUUGUAUUAUACCAAUCUUGAUGGAUACUGGCUAUCAUUGCCAUAAUAUGAUGUGAAUUAAAGUUACUUUCAAA